rnacentral:misc_RNA from 1 species
GAUCAAAUUUUUUUUACUUCUCUUGUCUCACAUAUACUGCUUUCUACUUGAGUCAUCAAUAUCGGUUCCCGAACCUCUCCAUCUUCAUAAUCUUCUUCUAUAUCAUUAUCAACUGCAUCCAUGGCCUCGUUUAAAUCCUGCUUACCAUCUGAUUCAUAUUCAGAACUAUAAGGAUCUUCUUCUAAUAAAUCAGCUGAUAUGCUGAUCUUUU